AACGUAGGAGGCGAGCGUUAUCCGGAGUUACUGGGCGUAAAGCGUGCGCAGGCGGUUCUGUAAGUGGGUUGUGAAAGCGCCCGGCUAAACCGGGCGAGGACAGGUCAGACUGCAGGGCUGGGAUGGAACAGAGGGCUGUGGAAUUCCGGGUGUAGCGGUGAAAUGUGUAGAGAUCCGGAGGAACACCAGAGGUGAAGACGGCGGCCUGGGUUCCAAUCGACGCUGAGGAACGAAAGCGUGGGGAGCGAACGGG
rnacentral:rRNA from 1 species